UACGUAGGGCGCAAGCGUUAUCCGGAAUUAUUGGACGUAAAGAGCUCGUAGGCGGCUUGUCGCGUCGGAUGUGAAAGCCCGGGGCUUAACUCCGGGUCUGCAUUCGAUACGGGCAGGCUAGAGUUCGGUAGGGGAGAUCGGAAUUCCUGGUGUAGCGGUGAAAUGCGCAGAUAUCAGGAGGAACACCGGUGGCGAAGGCGGAUCUCUGGGCCGAUACUGACGCUGAGGAGCGAAAGCGUGGGGAGCGAACAGG
rnacentral:rRNA from 1 species